GCACUGCUGAGGAGCCCCACGAUAGGACGAAACGGCCUUCCAGUGC
rnacentral:hammerhead_ribozyme from 1 species